rnacentral:rRNA from 1 species
AGUGAACGCUGGCGGUAGGCCUAACACAUGCAAGUCGAACGGCAGCACUGUAAGAGCUUGCUCUUACGGGUGGCGAGUGGCGGACGGGUGAGGAAUACAUCGGAAUCUACUUUUUCGUGGGGGGUAACGUAGGGAAACUUACGCUAAUACCGCAUACGACCUACGGGUGAAAGCAGGGGAUCUUCGGACCUUGCGCGAUUGAAUGAGCCGAUGUCGGAUUAGCUAGUUGGCGGGGUAAAGGCCCACCAAGGCGACGAUCCGUAGCUGGUCUGAGAGGAUGAUCAGCCACACUGGAACUGAGACACGGUCCAGACUCCUACGGGAGGCAGCAGUGGGGAAUAUUGGACAAUGGGCGCAAGCCUGAUCCAGCCAUACCGCGUGGGUGAAGAAGGCCUUCGGGUUGUAAAGCCCUUUUGUUGGGAAAGAAAAGCAGCAGGUUAAUACCCCGCUGUUCUGACGGUACCCAAAGAAUAAGCACCGGCUAACUUCGUG